CCUACGGGAGGCAGCAGUGAGGAAUUUUGCGCAAUGGGCGAAAGCCUGACGCAGCGACGCCGCGUGGAGGAUGAAGGCCUUCGGGUCGUAAACUCCUGUCAGAGGUGAAGAAUCCCUGAGCAAUCAGGGUUGACGGUAACCUCAGAGGAAGCCCCGGCCAACUACGUGCCAGCAGCCGCGGUAAUACGUAGAGGGCAAGCGUUACUCGGAUUCAUUGGGCGUAAAGCGAAUGUAGGCGGUUCAGUAAGUCAGGGGUGAAAUCCCUCAGCUUAACUGAGGAAUUGCCUUUGAUACUGCCGAACUUGAGGACAGGAGAGGAAAGUGGAAUUCCCGGUGUAGCGGUGGAAUGCGUAGAUAUCGGGAGGAACACCAGAGGCGAAGGCGGCUUUCUGGACUGAUCCUGACGCUGAGAUUCGAAAGCCAGGGGAGCAAACAGGAUUAGAUACCCUGGUAGUCCUGGCUGUAAACGAUGGAUACUAGAUCUUGCAAUUUACUGCUUGGUCGAAGCUAACGCGUUAAGUAUCCCGCCUGGGGAGUACGGUCGCAAGGCUGAAACUUAAAGGAAUUGACGG
rnacentral:rRNA from 1 species